UUCAAUACUCAUAUGUAGCUUUUUUUUUAGUAUUUCAUUUUUCUUUAGUUUUUUAGUAUUUCAUUUUCUUUUAGCUUCUAAUUUUUAUUAUUUUAUUGUCUUUUAGUAUUUUGUUUCUUGUAAUAUUUUUGUAUGUCCAUGUUUCUUUACUAAUUUCAUCAUACAUGCAAAACCAUUUUUAAAACAAAAAAAAUCAUACCUUUCUCGAUUUAAUGUCGAGUCCUUUUUUCAAACCCUUGUAAGUCGAUUGCUUUUAAGCAUCGCCGUCAACCUCACAUAGCUUACUCUUGGGCUUUCUUACAAUGAGCCGGCUCUCUUGCACUUACACUCAUGCAUUAUUUUAUUUGGGUCCGAUUUAAUUAUUUCAUGAUGGUUUUAAUCCCCAUUUGACAAAUGUACCCCACUCCCCCGAUGUGUAAUAAUCUGGUACUAUUUUUAUUUCUUUAUUGUUUGACUGUGUAGUUAGAUAUUAACACAAGAAUAAAAUCAACAAAUUUCAAAAAUACAAAAAUAUGACUCGAUCCAACGUCGAGCAUUUUCUCAAUAAACAAAUCAACUCAUUUCUCCAUCCCAUUCCAUCCCAUCUUUUUCAAACUUCAUCAAAUGCUUGAUCCGACGUCAAGCCAUUUUUCAUAAUAAAAACUCAAAAAAAUAUUAAUUUAUAGUUAAGACCUUUUCAAUAAGAUGGAAGUGGAACGUGGUGUAUACUGCGCACUCCUGAGACUAGGAUUCGAGAUGUAUAUCUCGCCAAUCCUCGCUUUCGCCAUCAUCCAAUUUACCCACUUUUUUCUCUCAAACACUCAUUCAUCUUUCUCAAACGCCCAAUCAAUACUUGAUCUAGGUCAAGUCCUUUUCUCAAUUAAAUCUAAAACACCUAAUUCUUAUUUAAACACUUUUCUCAAUAAAGGUGGAAAUGGAACAUGAUGUAUAUCAUGCACUCCUGAGACUAAGAUUCGAGACGUAUGCCUCGCCAAUCUUAACUCUCGCCAUCAUCUAAAAUCGUCAANNNNNNNNGUUUUUUUUUUAUUUUUUAGUAUUUAUAGAAUAAUUAGUUUUAAAGAGAAAAACAUAAAAAAAGAUUCUUUUAAUUAGUUAGUUAAUAAGUGAUUUAGGUUUCCAAUCUAUUCCCCUUGGUAAGUCCAACAGCCAGGCGGCUGGGCUUUUUUUGCCAGUAGACUAACGGUUCUUUUUCUAUUAAGUUUUUAUUUUAAUCUUUUUUUAAUUUACCUUUAGUUUAUGUAUUUAAAAUUAGUAUUAAAUAAUAACUAAUGAUAAAUGGCCUGGUGGAGAGGGGGUAGUUCCAUAGUCUUAGGGGGAGUGGGUUCAAUACUCAUAUGUAGCUUUUUUUUUAGUAUUUCAUUUUUCUUUAGUUUUUUAGUAUUUCAUUUUCUUUUAGCUUCUAAUUUUUAUUAUUUUAUUGUCUUUUAGUAUUUUGUUUCUUGUAAUAUUUUUGUAUGUCCAUGUUUCUUUACUAAUUUCAUCAUACAUGCAAAACCAUUUUUAAAACAAAAAAAAUCAUACCUUUCUCGAUUUAAUGUCGAGUCCUUUUUUCAAACCCUUGUAAGUCGAUUGCUU
rnacentral:lncRNA from 1 species